GACGAACGCUGGCGGCGUGCUUAACACAUGCAAGUCGAACGGAGUGGCGAACGGGUGAGUAACACGUGGGUGACCUGCCCUGCACUUCGGGGUAAGCCCGGGUAACUGGGUCUAAUACCGGAUAGUGUGGGAUGGGCCCGCGGCCUAUCCGCUUGUUGGUGGGGUAAUGGCCUACCAAGGCAGCGACGGGUAGCCGGCCUGGGAGGGUGGACGGCCACAUUGGGCCUGCGACACGUGCCAGAGUCGUACGGGAGGCAGCAGUGGGGAAUAUUGCGCAGUGAGCGGAAGCCUGAUGCAGCGACGCCGGGUGGGGAAUGACGGCCUUCGGGUUGUAAACUCCUUUCACCAUCGACGCGGUAGAUGGAGAAGAAGCACCGGCUAACUACGUGCCAGCAGCCGCGGUAAUAC
rnacentral:rRNA from 1 species